GGGGGCGAUCGGUUUCGACGGAGACGACGAACUCAUUUGCUGCGUACCGUGGCCCGCUGGUCCACGUAAAAACCCGCGGAACGAUUGAUUGCGAACGAUAACGCGAUCGCGCUCGCUGCCUAAAAAGCACUGAACGCCGUCCGACGGAAGGGUCCUCCAGCACCCUCCGAAGGGCGUCAACAAGCUGGAUGGCCGAACGUCGGGUUACCGGGCGGGAGGCGAGAUCAAACAGGUGAAUAGCUCCGAGGAGAGCCCGCCGACAGGCGCGACCCGGAGCGAUGCAAAGUGUCGGCUACGUACGUAGAGGCGUGAGCGAGGCGUUUUCGGACCCGGGUUCGAUUCCCGGCGCCUCCACUG
rnacentral:tmRNA from 1 species